AGCAAAUUCAUAUUUAAAUGCUAUGACAAAUAUGAACACUACCACAAUUUAAUGAUUUCCCUUUAUAUUAAUUGAUGAAUACAAUUAUCUUAAAAUGUAUUCCAAUAAUGGCCCAAAAUCUAAAUAAAAACUCAAGAAUAACUACGUACCUGAAACCUAGAACCUCUGUGCGAUUAAAACUGGAUCCAUAUUUGUUUCGAUAAACUGUGUCCAGCUGUAAAAGUAAUAUAAGCAAUUUUAGCAAUUUAUCUUGAGAACUGAAAUGUUGACAAACAAUUUGAGGGAACGUGUUUGACAUAAUGACAAAUAUAAAAACUUAUUUGGGGGAUGAAAUGCCCCUUUAAGAACCUGACAGCUGUACAACUGAAGAUGAACAGUAUUAUUAAAAGAGUGGAAAGUAAAACAGAAUUUACCGCUGUAGCCACAGUACUUGCUAAUGCUUUGAACGCUGGUGAAGAAACAUUUUUCAAAUCUGCUUUGAAGUUUUGCUCCAAUUUGAAGUCCAACUUAACCUCUGGUGGUGGAGGGGCAGGUGUUCUGAUAGUAGUUGAGGAACCAGUUGUAACUGUGGUCAGAGCAACUGUGGUUGUUGUUGGAGUAGCUGUGGUUGUUUUGGGAGGAGCUGUGGUUCUUGUGGGAGCAGCUGUGGUUGUUGUGGGAGCAACUGUGGUUGUUGUGGGAGCAACUGUGGUUGUUGUGGGAGCAACUGUGGUUGUUGUGAGACCAGCUGUGGUUGUUAUUGGAGCAGCUAUGGUUGUUGUUGGAGUAGUUGUGGUUGUUGUAGGAACAGCUAAGGUAGUUGUGGGAGCAGCUGUGGUUGUUGUUGGAGCAGCUGUUGUUGUUAUGAGGGAACCUGUGGUUGUUGUGGGGGCAGCUGUGGUUGUUGUUGGAGCAGCUGUGGUUGUUGUUAGAGCACCUGUGGUUGCUGUUGGAGCAGCUGUUGUUGUUGGAGCAGCUGUGGUUGUUGUUGGACCAGCUGUGGUUGUUGUGAGACCAGCUGUGGUUGUUGUGGGAGCAACUGUGGUUGUUGUGGGAGCAACUGUGGUUGUUGUGGGAGCAACUGUGGUUGUUGUGGGAGCAACUGUGGUUGUUGUGAGACCAGCUGUGGUUGGUGUGAGACCAGCUGUGGUUGGUGUGAGACCAGCUGUGGUUGUUGUGAGACCAGCUGUGGUUGUUGUUGGAGCAGCUAUGGUUGUUAUUGGAGCAGCUGUGGUUGUUGUUGGAGUAGUUAUGGUUGUUGUAGGAAUAGCUGUGGUAGUUGUGGGAGCAGCUGUGGUUGUUGUGGGAGCAAGUGUGGUUGUUGUGGGAGCAAAUGUGUUUGUUGUUAGACCAGCUGUGGUUGUUAGGGGAGCAGCUGUGGUUGUUGCGGGAGCAGCUGUGGUUGUUGUGGGAGCAGCUGUGGUUGUUGUUGGAGCAGUUAUGGUUGUUGUAGCUGCAGCUGUUGUCGUCGUAGCAGCAGCUGAAGUUGCUAUGAGGGAACCUGUGGUUGUUGUUAGAGCAGCUGAGGUUGUUGUUAGAGCAGCUGUGGUUGUUGUUGGAGCAGCUGUGGUUGUUGUUGGAGCAGCUGUGGUUGUUGUUGGAGCAGCUGUGGUUGUUGUUGGAGCAGCUGUGGUUGUUGUUGGAGCAGCUGUGGUUGUUGUUGGAGCAGCUGUGGUUGUUGUAAGAGCAGCUAUGGUUGUUAUUGGAGCAGCUGUGGUUGUUGUUGGAGUAGUUAUGGUUGUUGUAGGAACAGCUAAGGUAGUUGUGGGAGCAGCUGUGGUUGUUGUGGGAGCAACUGUGGUUGUUGUGGGAGCAACUGUGGUUGUUGUGAGACCAGCGGUGGUUGUUAGGGGAGCAGCUGUGGUUGUUGUUGGAGCAGCUGUGGUUGUUGUUAGAGCAGCUGUGGUUGUUGUUAGAGCAGCUGUGGUUGUUGUUGGAGCAGCUGUGGUUGUUGUUGGAGCAGCUGGUGUUGUUGUUGGACCAGCUGUGGUUGUUGUGGGAGCAACUGUGGUUGUUGUGGGAGCAACUGUGGUUGUUGUGGGAGCAACUGUGGUUGUGAGACCAGCUGUGGUUGUUGUGAGACCAGCUGUGGUUGUUGUGAGACCAGCUGUGGUUGUUGUGAGACCAGCUGUGGUUGUUGUUGGAGCAGCUGUGGUUGUUGUUGGAGCAGCUGUGGUUGUUGUUGGAGCAGCUGUGGUUGUUGUAAGAGCAGCUAUGGUUGUUAUUGGAGCAGCUGUGGUUGUUGUUGGAGUAGUUAUGGUUGUUGUAGGAAUAGCUGUGGUAGUUGUGGGAGCAGCUGUGGUUGUUGUGGGAGCAGCUGUGGUUGUUGCGGGAAAAACUGUUGUUGUUGUGGGAGCAAAUGUGUUUGUUGUUAGACCAGCUGUGGUUGUUAGGGGAGCAGCUGUGGUUGUUGCGGGAGCAGCUGUGGUUGUUGUGGGAGCAGCUGUGGUAGUUGUGGGAGCAGCUGUGGUUGUUGUGGGAGCAACUGUGGUUGUUGUGGGAGCAACUGUGGUUGUUGUGAGACCAGCGGUGGUUGUUAGGGGAGCAGCUGUGGUUGUUGUUGGAGCAGCUGUGGUUGUUGUUAGAGCAGCUGUGGUUGUUGUUGGAGCAGCUGUUGUUGUUAUGAGGGAACCUGUGGUUGUUGUGGGGGCAGCUGUGGUUGUUGUUAGAGCAGCUGUGGUUGUUGUUAGAGCAGCUGUGGUUGUUGUUGGAGCAGCUGUUGUUGUUGGAGCAGCUGUGGUUGUUGUUGGACCAGCUGUGGUUGUUGUGAGACCAGCUGUGGUUGUUGUGGGAGCAGCUGUGGUUGUUGUGGGAGCAACUGUGGUUGUUGUGGGAGCAACUGUGGUUGUUGUUGGAGCAGCUGUGGUUGUUGUUGGAGCAGCUGUGGUUGUUGUAAGAGCAGCUAUGGUUGUUAUUGGAGCAGCUGUGGUUGUUGUUGGAGUAGUUAUGGUCGUUGUAGGAAUAGCUGUGGUAGUUGUGGGAGCAGCUGGUAGUUGUGGGAGCAGCUGUGGUUGUUGUUGGACCAGCUGUGGUUGUUGUGAGACCAGCUGUGGUUGUUGUGGGAGCAACUGUGGUUGUUGUGGGAGCAACUGUGGUUGUUGUGGGAGCAACUGUGGUUGUUGUGAGACCAGCUGUGGUUGUUGUGAGACCAGCUGUGGUUGUUGUGAGACCAGCUGUGGUUGUUGUGAGACCAGCUGUGGUUGUUGUUGGAGCAGCUGUGGUUGUUGUUGGAGCAGCUGUGGUUGUUGUUGGAGCAGCUGUGGUCAUUGUAAGAGCAGCUAUGGUUGUUAUUGGAGCAGCUGUGGUUGUUGUUGGAGUAGUUAUGGUCGUUGUAGGAAUAGCUGUGGUAGUUGUGGGAGCAGCUGUGGUUGUUGUGGGAGCAGCUGUGGUUGUUGUGGGAGCAACUGUUGUUGUUGUGGGAGCAAAUGUGUUUGUUGUUAGACCAGCUGUGGUUGUUAGGGGAGCAGCUGUGGUUGUUGCGGGAGCAGCUGUGGUUGUUGUGGGAGCAGCUGUGGUUGUUGUGGAAGCAACUGUGGUUGUUGUGGGAGCAACUGUGGUUGUUAUGAGACCAGUGGUGGUUGUUAGGGGAGCAGCUGUGGUUGUUGUUGGAGCAGUUAUGGUUGUUGUAGCUGCAGCUGUUGUAGUCGUAGCAGCAGCUGAGGUUGUUAUGAGGGAACCUGUGGUUGUUGUGGGGGCAGCUGUGGUUGUUGUUAGAGCAGCUGUGGUUGUUGUUAGAGCAGCUGUUGUUGUUGUUAGAGCAGCUGUGGUUGUUGUUGGAGCAGCUGUGGUUGUUGUAAGAGAAGCUAUGGUUGUUAUUGGAGCAGCUGUGGUUGUUGUUGGAGCAGUAAUGGUUGUAGUAGGUACAGCUAAGGUAGUUGUGGGAGCAGCUGUGGUUGUUGUGGGAGCAGCUGUGGUUGUUGUGGGAGCAGCUGUGGUUGUUGUGGGAGCAACUGUGGUUGUUGUGGGAGCAACUGUGGUUGUUGUGGGAGCAACUGUGGUUGUUGUGAGACCAGCUGUGGUUGUUGUUGGAGCAACUGUGGUUGUUGUAAGACCAGCUGUGGUUGUUGUUGGACCAGCUGUGGUUGUUGUUGGAGCAGCUGUGGUUGUUGUAAGAGCAGCUGUGGUUGUUGUAAGAGCAGCUGUGGUUGUUGUUGGAGCAGCUGUGGUUGUUGUUGGAGUAGUUAUGGUUGUUGUAGGAACAGCUAAGGUAGUUGUGGGAGCAGCUGUGGUUGUUGUGGGAGCAGCUGUGGUAGUUGUGGGAGCAACUGUGGUUGUUAUGAGACCAGUGGUGGUUGUUAGGGGAGCAGCUGUGGUUGUUGUUGGAGCAGUUAUGGUUGUUGUAGCUGCAGCUGUUGUCGUCGUAGCAGCAGCUGAGGUUGUUAUGAGGGAACCUGUGGUUGUUUUGGGGGCAGUUGUGGUUGUUGUUAGAGCAGCUGUGGUUGUUGUUAGAGCAGCUGUGGUUGUUGUUAGAGCAGCUGUGGUUGUUGUUGGAGCAGCUGUGGUUGUUGUAAGAGCAGCUAUGGUUGUUAUUGGAGCAGCUGUGGUUGUUGUAUUAGCAGCUAUGGUUGUUAUUGGAGCAGCUGUGGUUGUUGUUGGAGUAGUUAUGGUUGUUGUAGGAACAGCUAAGGUAGUUGUGGGAGCAGCUGUGGUAGUUGUGGGAGCAGCUGUGGUUGUUGUGGGAGCAGCUGUGGUUGUUGUGGGAGCAGCUGUGGUAGUUGUGGGAGCAACUGUGGUUGUAAUGAGACCAGUGGUGGUUGUUAGGGGAGCAGCUGUGGUUGUUGUUGGAGCAGUUAUGGUUGUUGUAGCUGCAGCUGUUGUCGUCGUAGCAGCAGCUGAGGUUGUUAUGAGGGAACCUGUGGUUGUUGUGGGGGCAGUUGUGGUUGUUGUUAGAGCAGCUGUGGUUGUUGUUAGAGCAGCUGUGGUUGUUGUUGGAGCAGCUGUGGUUGUUGUUGGAGCAGCUGUGGUUGUUGUAAGAGCAGCUAUGGUAGUUGUGGGAGCAGCUGUGGUUGUUGUGGGAGCAGCUGUGGUUGUUGUGGGAGCAACUGUGGUUGUUAUGAGACCAGUGGUGGUUGUUAGGGGAGCAGCUGUGGUUGUUGUUGGAGCAGUUAUGGUUGUUGUAGCUGCAGCUGUUGUCGUCGUAGCAG
ensembl:lncRNA